GCAGCAACCACACAAGGGCCGCUUCGGAGCAAUCCGGGCGGCCCUUUUCUUUUGCGCUUGUGUCAACUGCCUUUUCGU
rnacentral:misc_RNA from 1 species